ACGGCUCAGUAACACGUGGCUAAUCUGCCCNUAGGACGAGAACAACCCCGGGAAACUGGGGCUAACUCUCGAUAGGCGAAGAACUCUGGAAUGAGUCUUUACCUAAAAAGCUUCACGUUAUCCUCGUGAAGUCGCCUAAGGAUGAGGCCGCGACCGAUCAGGUUGUUGGCGAGGUAAUGGCUCACCAAGCCUUUUACCGGUGCGGGCCGUGAGAGCGGGAGCCCGGAGAUGGGCACUGAGACAAGGGCCCAGGCCCUACGGGGCGCAGCAGUCGCGAAAACUUUGCAAUAAGCGAAAGCUUGACAGGGCUAUCCCGAGUGCCAUCCGCUGAGGAAGGCUUUUACCCAGUCUAGAACGCUGGGGGAAUAAGGAGAGGGCAAGUCUGGUGUCAGCCGCCGCGGUAAUACCAGCUCUCCGAGUGGUGUGGAUGUUUAUUGGGCCUAAAGCAUCCGUAGCUGGCUAGGUCAGUCCCUUGUUAAAUCCACCGAAUUAAUCGUUGGAUUGCGGGGGAUACUGCUUGGCUAGGGGACGAGAGAGGCAGACGGUAUUUUCGGGGUAGGGGGUGAAAUCCUAUAAUCCCGGGAAGACCACCAGUGGCGAAGGCUGUCUGCUAGAACGCGCCCGACGGUGAGGGAUGAAAGCUGGGGGAGCGAACCGGAUUAGAUACCCGGGUAGUCCCAGCUGUAAACGAUGCAGACUAGGUGUUUGGACGGCCACGUGCCGUUCUAGUGCCGCAGGGAAGCUGUUAAGUCUGCCGCCUGGGGAGUACGAUCGCAAGAUUGAAACUUAAAGGAAUUGGCGGGGGAGCAC
rnacentral:rRNA from 1 species